rnacentral:rRNA from 1 species
UACGUAGGGUGCAAGCGUUGUCCGGAAUUAUUGGGCGUAAAGAGCUCGUAGGCGGUUUGUCGCGUCUGCUGUGAAAACUCAGGGCUUAACUCUGAGCUUGCAGUGGGUACAGGCAGACUAGAGUGCGGUAGGGGAGACUGGAAUUCCUGGUGUAGCGGUGAAAUGCGCAGAUAUCAGGAGGAACACCGGUGGCGAAGGCGGCUCUCUGGACCGAGACUGACGCUGAGGCGCGAAAGCGUGGGGAGCAAACAGG